rnacentral:rRNA from 1 species
CCUACGGGGGGCUGCAGUGAGGAAUAUUGGUCAAUGGAGGCAACUCUGAACCAGCCAAGUCGCGUGAAGGAUGACUGUCCUAAGGAUUGUAAACUUCUUUUAUAUGGGAAUAACUGUCGCCACGUGUGGUGAUUUGCAUGUACCAUAUGAAUAAGGAUCGGCUAACUCCGUGCCAGCAGCCGCGGUAAUACGGAGGAUCCGAGCGUUAUCCGGAUUUAUUGGGUUUAAAGGGUGCGCAGGCGGGAGAUUAAGUCGGCGGUGAAAUUUUGCGGCUCAACCGUAAAAGUGCCAUCGAAACUGGUUUUCUUGAGUGUAGAUGAAGUAGGCGGAAUUUGUGGUGUAGCGGUGAAAUGCAUAGAUAUCACGAGGAACUCCGAUUGCGCAGGCAGCUUACUAAACUACUACUGACGCUCAUGCACGAAGGCGUGGGGAUCAAACAGGCUUAGAUACCCUUGUAGUC